rnacentral:rRNA from 1 species
UAGGGAAUCUUCGGCAAUGGACGAAAGUCUGACCGAGCAACGCCGCGUGAGUGAAGAAGGUUUUCGGAUCGUAAAACUCUGUUGUUAGAGAAGAACAAGGACGUUAGUAACUGAACGUCCCCUGACGGUAUCUAACCAGAAAGCCACGGCUAACUACGUGCCAGCAGCCGCGGUAAUACGUAGGUGGCAAGCGUUGUCCGGAUUUAUUGGGCGUAAAGCGAGCGCAGGCGGUUUCUUAAGUCUAAUGUGAAAGCCCCCGGCUCAACCGGGGGGGGUCAUUGGAAACUGGGGGACUUGAGUGCAGAAGAGGAGGGUGGAAUUCAAUGUGUAGCGGUGAAUUCCGUAGAUAUAUGGGGAACACCAGUGGCGAAGGCGGCUCUCUGGUCUGUAACUGACGCUGAGGCUCGAAAGCGUGGGGAGCAAACAGG